GACGGAGGGCGCAAGCGUUGUUCGGAAUUACUGGGCGUAAAGCGCGCGCAGGCGGGAAGAUAAGUCUGGAGUGAAAUCCCGGGGCUCAACCCCGGAACUGCAUUGGAUACUGCCUUGCUUGAGUACUGGAGAGGGAACUGGAAUUUACGGUGUAGCAGUGAAAUGCGUAGAUAUCGUAAGGAAGGCCAGUGGCGAAGGCGAGUUCCUGGACAGUUACUGACGCUGAGGCACGAAGGCCAGGGGAGCAAACGGG
rnacentral:rRNA from 1 species